UUAAAAUGAUGAAUCCAAUCAGUUCUGCUUCUGAUAUAAAGCUUGAUGAUUAAUUGCUUAACUGAUUU